rnacentral:rRNA from 1 species
GUAGUUAGCCGGGGCUUCCUCCUUGGCUACCGUCACUUUCUUCGUCACCAAGGACAGAGGUUUACAAUCCGAAGACCUUCUUCCCUCACGCGGCGUUGCUGGGUCAGGCUUUCGCCCAUUGCCCAAUAUUCCCCACUGCUGCCUCCCGUAGGAGUCUGGACCGUGUCUCAGUUCCAGUGUGGCCGAUCAGCCUCUCAGCUCGGCUACCCAUCGUUGGCUAGGUGGGCCGUUACCCCGCCUACUACCCAAUGGGACGCGAACCCCUCCUUCUGCGGAUUGCUCCUUUGACCCCUGAGCCAUGCGACUCUGUGGUCUUAUGCGGUAUUAGCACUUGUUUCCAGGUGUUAUCCCCCUCAGAAGGGCAGGUUGUUCACGCGUUACUCACCCGUUCGCCACUAACAAUAAAUCCGAAAAUCUAUUGUCCGUUCGACUUGCAUGUGUUAGGCACGCCGCCAGCGUUCGUCCUGAGCCAUANAUAACUAACUACUACGUACGUAGACGGCGGCGGUCGGACGAACGGCGACUAGUAG